AGCAACCUGCCCCCGACUCUGGGAUAAGCCCGGGAAACUGGGUCUAAUACCGGAUACGACACCCCCUCGCAUGGGGUGGGUGUGGAAAGUCUUUUCGGUUGGGGAUGGGCUCGCGGCCUAUCAGCUUGUUGGUGGGGUAGUGGCCCACCAAGGCGACGACGGGUAGCCGGCCUGAGAGGGCGACCGGCCACACUGGGACUGAGACACGGCCCAGACUCCUACGGGAGGCAGCAGUGGGGAAUAUUGCACAAUGGGGGAAACCCUGAUGCAGCGACGCCGCGUGCGGGAUGACGGCCUUCGGGUUGUAAACCGCUUUCAGCAGGGACGAACACAGACGGUACCUGCAGAAGAAGCGCCGGCUAACUACGUGCCAGCAGCCGCGGUAAUACGUAGGGCGCAAGCGUUGUCCGGAAUUAUUGGGCGUAAAGAGCUCGUAGGCGGUCUGUCGCGUCGGAUGUGAAAGCUCGAGGCUUAACCUCGGGUCUGCAUCCGAUACGGGCAGACUAGAGGCAGGUAGGGGAGAACGGAAUUCCCGGUGUAGCGGUGAAAUGCGCAGAUAUCGGGAGGAACACCGGUGGCGAAGGCGGUUCUCUGGGCCUGUACUGACGCUGAGGAGCGAAAGCGUGGGGAGCGAACAGGAUUAGAUACCCUGGUAGUCCACGCCGUAAACGUUGGGCGCUAGGUGUGGGGACCUUCCACGGUUUCCGCGCCGCAGCU
rnacentral:rRNA from 1 species